rnacentral:lncRNA from 1 species
AGUCUCCAGGAUAGGAAGGGUGGAUUUUAGACUAACCGAUAACUUUUUUUUUCUUUCCAGAAAAAUUCAAACCCCUAUUGCCGGCUUUGAAAAUGGAAGAAGAAUGCCCUGAUUCAAGGAACGUAGUGGCCUCUAGCAUUUUGCAAGAAGAAGGGAAGGAACACACCCUCACAGGCUCUUCCCUAGCUGCAUUCACGCACUGUGUCCCGCUUCUCAGUGGAACCAGCUAUCAGCACCAUUCACGCACUGUGUCCCGUUUCUCAGUGGAACCAGCUAUCAGCACCAUGGACAGAACCCGG